rnacentral:ncRNA from 2 species
UCAAUCCUUCAGGGCAGGGUGAAAUUCCCUACCGGCGGUGAUGUUGCUGCAAGUUAAUCUUGCAGUGCUUAGUCCGCUACCCGGACCGUGCUACAGCGCGGACGGUGGACCCGGUGCAAUUCCGGGACCGACAGUAUAGUCUGGAUGGAAGAAGGAGAGA